UAGUCCACGCCGUAAACGAUGAAUACUAGGUGUCGGGGGUCGAACCUCGGUGCCGCAGCUAACGCAUUAAGUAUUCCGCCUGGGGAGUACGGUCGCAAGACUGAAACUCAAAGGAAUUGACGGGGCCCGCACAAGCAGCGGAGCAUGUGGUUUAAUUCGAAGCAACGCGAAGAACCUUACCAAAUCUUGACAUCCUUUUGACCAUCAUUUAAUCAUGAUCUCUUCUUCGGAAGCAGAAGUGACAGGUGGUGCAUGGUUGUCGUCAGCUCGUGUCGUGAGAUGUUGGGUUAAGUCCCGCAACGAGCGCAACCCUUAUCUUUAGUUGUCAUCAAGUAAUGUUGGACCCUCUAGAGAGACUGCCGGUGAUAAACCGGGAGGAAGGUGGGGAUGACGUCAAAUCAUCAUGCCCCUUAUGAUUUGGGGCUACACACGUGCUACAAUGGUCGGUACAACAGGCAGUGAAAGGGGUAACCUGGGAACGAAUCCU
rnacentral:rRNA from 1 species